GUCCACGCUGUAAACGAUGGAUACUAGGUGUAGGAGGUAUCGACCCCUUCUGUGCCGGAGUUAACACAAUAAGUAUCCCACCUGGGGAGUACGGCCGCAAGGUUGAAACUCAAAGGAAUUGACGGGGCCCGCACAAGCAGUGGAGUAUGUGGUUUAAUUCGAAGCAACGCGAAGAACCUUACCAGGGCUUGACAUAAUGGUGAAUACAGUAGAGAUACUGUAGUCUUUCGGGACGCCAUUACAGGUGGUGCAUGGUUGUCGU
rnacentral:rRNA from 1 species